UACGUAGGGUGCAAGCGUUAAUCGGAAUUACUGGGCGUAAAGCGUGCGCAGGCGGUUUUUUAAGUCCGUCGUGAAAUCCCCGGGCUCAACCUGGGAAUGGCGAUGGUGACUGCAAGGCUAGAGUUUGGCAGAGGGGGGUAGAAUUCCACGUGUAGCAGUGAAAUGCGUAGAGAUGUGGAGGAACACCGAUGGCGAAGGCAGCCCCCUGGGUCAAAACUGACGCUCAUGCACGAAAGCGUGGGGAGCAAACAGG
rnacentral:rRNA from 1 species